UGAAGAGACAAUAUUUGUAAUGCGUUAAUUCCUUCAUUUGUUGAUUGGAAAUAUCCAGCAGCAUCUGGACCCAUGGUCAGAGAGCGAGAGACUCCUGGCCCAUUACCAAUGCUUAACCAAUAAAUAAUAUAGUAGUAAUGAACCGAAUAAUACAGAGCUAUUCAAAAUGGGUUAAAUCCUCAACCCCUAAAGAAUCAACACCAUCACCAACUACAAGAAUAAGUCUUCUCAAUUCAAACCAGUUACAGCCAAUGGUCCUUGAGGGAGAUUUGAGAGACACAAUCAGUUGAGGACCAGGAACAACCAGAGAACAUGGAUCUGAUAUUUGAACACAAAGUCUCCCUGUAGACACAUGGAGAACAGAAUUACCAUGCAUCACACACACACGCACGCACGCCAAAUGUAUUAAUCACACGCACAAACACACACAUGACAGAUGUAUUUAAAUACUCCUCCAUGUUAUCCAUUAACAUUUCAAAACAUAUGUUCACACUACUUAUUAUAAUGCCGAACCAUUAAAACUGUAACCUAUAAAUGAAU
ensembl:lncRNA